GACGAACGCUGGCGGCGUGCCUAAUACAUGCAAGUAGAACGCUGAAGGAGGAGCUUGCUCUUCUGGAUGAGUUGCGAACGGGUGAGUAACGCGUAGGUAACCUGCCUGGUAGCGGGGGAUAACUAUUGGAAACGAUAGCUAAUACCGCAUAACAGUAGAUGUUGCACGACAUUUGCUUAAAAGGUGCAAUUGCAUCACUACCAGAUGGACCUGCGUUGUAUUAGCUAGUUGGUGGGGUAACGGCUCACCAAGGCGACGAUACAUAGCCGACCUGAGAGGGGGGUCGGCCACACUGGGACUGGGACACGGCCCAGACUCCUACGGGAGGCAGCCGUAGGGAAUCUUCGGCAAUGGACGGAAGUCUGACCGAGCAACGCCGCGUGAGUGAAGAAGGUUUUCGGAUCGUAAAGCUCUGUUGUAAGAGAAGAACGAGUGUGAGAGUGGAAAGUUCACACUGUGACGGUAUCUUACCAGAAAGGGACGGCUAACUACGUG
rnacentral:rRNA from 1 species